rnacentral:sRNA from 1 species
GUCGGCCUGUGAUGCAGACCUAUUUAUGUUCGAGUUUAGAAUUAAGCAGUUCCUCCAAAAACGUUAUCAUCUGAUUCCGCUUCAAAGACGAACCUUCUAAGUACCUCCCAUAAGUAAUGUUUCCAAGAACGGCCAAAAUUGCCUUAUGGCAGGUUUUGUAUAUAUUUAAAAGGUAAAUAAGUAAUGUCUAAGAAAACGGGUCAAGUGAAGUGGUUCAAUGAAAGCAAAGGUUUUGGUUUUAUUGAACAGAACGACGGUGGUAAAGAUGUAUUCGUACACUUCUCCGCAAUCGCGACCGACGGUUUCAAAACUUUGGCUGAAGGCCAACGUGUUGAGUACACCGUAGAAGACAGCCCGCGCGGGCCGGCUGCCGCCAACGUUGUUGCUCUGUAAAUAAACAGGGAAUAACGUAAAGAGAACUUAAUACAACCAUGAUGAAGCGUUUGCGCUGAAUCAUUG